rnacentral:rRNA from 1 species
AUGAACGUUUGCGGCGCGCCUAACACAUGCAAGUCGAGCGAGAAAGCUCCUUCGGGAGUAAGUACAGCGGCGGACGGGUGAGUAUCGCGUGGGAAUCUGCCUUUUAGUGAGGAAUACCCUUGAGAAAUCGAGGUUAAUACCGCAUAAGUCCCCUUGGGGAGAAAGAUGGCCUCUUGCUGUCGCUAAAAGAUGAGCCUGCGUACUAUUAGCUAGUUGGUAGGGUAAAGGCCUACCAAGGCGAUGAUGGUUAGCCGGCCUGAGAGGGUGAUCGGCCACACUGGAACUUAGAUACGGUCCAGACUCCUACGGGAGGCAGCAGUGGGGAAUAUUGCGCAAUGGGCGAAAGCCUGACGCAGCGACGCCGCGUGGAGGAUGAAGGUCUUCGGAUUGUAAACUUCUGUUAAGUGGGAAGAAAGACUUCGACCUAAUACGUCGAGGGGAUGACGGUACCAUUAGAGAAAGCACUGGCUAACUUCGUGCCAGCAGCCGCGGUAAUACGAAGGGUGCUAACGUUAUUCGGAAUCAUUGGGCGUAAAGGGUGUGUAGACGGCAUCUUAAGUCAACUGUUAAAUCCUCCGGCCUAACCGGAGUCAUGCAGUAGAUACUGAUUUGCUAGAGGGUGGAAGAGAGAAGUGGAAUUCUCGGAGUAGCGGUAAAAUGCGUAGAUCUCGAGAGGAACACCGAUGGCGAAGGCAGCUUCUUGGUCCACUACUGACGUUGAGACACGAAAGCGUGGGGAGCAAACAGGAUUAGAUACCCUGGUAGUCCACGCCGUAAACGCUGAUCACUAGACGUCGGAUCUGCCUAGCAGAACCGGUGUCGUAGCUAACGCGUUAAGUGAUCCGCCUGGGGACUACGGUCGCAAGAUUAAAACUCAAAUGGAAUUGACGGGGGUCCGCACAAGCGGUGGAACAUGUGGUUUAAUUCGACACUACGCGAGGAACCUUACCUAGGCUUGACAUGUACGUGACAGUUGUAGAAAUACAAUCUUCCAGGCUUCGGUCUGGACAGGUACACAGGUGCUGCAUGGCUGUCGUCAGCUCGUGUCGUGAGAUGUUGGGUUAAGUCCUCUAACGAGCGCAACUCCUGCCAUCAGUUGCAACCUUAUGGGGCACUCUGAUGGGACUGCUUGGGAAACCAAGAGGAAGGUGGGAAUGACGUCAAGUCAUCAUGGUCCUUAUGCCUAGGGCUACACACGUGUUACAAUGGCCGGUACAAUGGGCUGCAAAUCCGCGAGGGUAAGCAAAUCCCUUAAAGCCGGUCUAAGUUCGGAUUGGAGUCUGCAAUUCGACUCCAUGAAGUUGAAAUCGCUAGUAAUCGCGCAUCAGCAACGGCGCGGUGAAUACGUUCUCGGGCCUUGUACACACCGCCCGUCACACCAUGAGAGCUGUCUGUACCCAAAAUUGCCUUAGCCAACCUGCGAAGGAGGCGGGCACCUAAGGUAUGGGGAGUGAUUGGGGUG